rnacentral:rRNA from 1 species
GAUUAAUACCGCAUAAGAUUGUAGUAUCGCAUGAUAUAGCAAUUAAAGGAGCAAUUCGCUAUAAGAUGGACCCGCGUCGCAUUAGCUAGUUGGUGAGGUAAUGGCUCACCAAGGCGACGAUGCGUAGCCGACCUGAGAGGGUGAUCGGCCACAUUGGGACUGAGACACGGCCCAGACUCCUACGGGAGGCAGCAUG